rnacentral:rRNA from 1 species
UACGAAGGGAGCUAGCGUUGUUCGGAAUCACUGGGCGUAAAGCGCACGUAGGCGGGUUUGUCAGUCAGGGGUGAAAUCCCGGAGCUCAACUCCGGAACUGCCCUUGAUACAGCAAGCCUUGAGUCCGGAAGAGGUAGGUGGAAUUCCUAGUGUAGAGGUGAAAUUCGUAGAUAUUCGCAAGAACACCAGUGGCGAAGGCGGCUCACUGGCCCGAUACUGACGCUGAGGCACGAAAGCGUGGGGAGCAAACAGG